CCAGGGCGUACACACACGCUACAAUGGACAGUACAACAGGUUGCCAAGCCGCGAGGCGGAGCCAAUCCUCUAAAGACUGUCCUCAGUUCAGAUUGCAGGCUGCAACUCGCCUCGCAUGAAGUUGGAGUUGCUAGUAACCGCAGGUCAGCUAUACUGCGGUGAAUACGUUCCCGGGGAUU
rnacentral:rRNA from 1 species